rnacentral:lncRNA from 1 species
GGAUUUAGGAACAUCGGGGACAUGGCUCGGCAAACAAGUAUCAUGUGCUGAAGACAUUUGUUCAUAUUCUGCAUUUGACAUGAGGUGGACACAGGAAGAAAGAGUAGUUAAAAUAUGAAAAGACUGCAAAUUUGUAAGAGAGAUCCUCAAUUUAUGUCACGGUCGGCUAACAGUGAAGGAAGAUGAUCCAUUAAGUUAUUGGUCUUUAAUUACAAAUAUUAUGGUAUAGGAAGAAGGACAUC